CCGUGCGCACCUGCUGCGGGGAGAUGAAGUGGAUGUGGGUGUCGAGCCCGCCCGCGGUGACGAUGAGCCCUUCGCCGGCGAUCGCCUCAGUGCCGGAGCCGACUUCGAGGCCGGGGGUGACGCCGUCCAUGGUCUGCGGAUUGCCGGCUUUGCCGAUGGCGCUGAUCUUGCCGUUCUUCAGGCCGAUGUCCGCCUUGUAGAUCCCCGUGUAGUCGACGAUGAGCGCGUUGGUGAUGACCGUGUCCGGCGACUCGGCGUCGAGCUGGACGGAGGACUGCCCCAUGCCGUCGCGG
rfam:Bifidobacterium scardovii strain LMG 21589 Contig02, whole genome shotgun sequence.